rnacentral:rRNA from 1 species
UACGAAGGGGGCUAGCGUUGCUCGGAAUUACUGGGCGUAAAGCGCGUGUAGGCUGCUCCGCAAGUCGGGUGUGAAAGCCCUGGGCUCAACCCAGGAAGUGCACUCGAAACUGCGAAGCUCGAGUCCUGGAGAGGAAGGCGGAAUUCUCGGUGUAGAGGUGAAAUUCGUAGAUAUCGAGAGGAACACCUGUGGCGAAGGCGGCCUUCUGGACAGUGACUGACGCUGAGACGCGAAAGCGUGGGGAGCAAACAGG